rnacentral:lncRNA from 1 species
UCCUUAUAGGCAUGUCAGAAAAUGCCAUUUUUGUUGUAGUGUCAUUUAAUUUAUUUCUAAAAACUCACUUGGUUCCAAUUAUAGGGUGAUCUAGAGGUCUUUCAACUAAUGUCUGUACACUAUUUCUUUCAAAUUAGUUUAGUUCCUCUUACAUAGUCAUAAUCCAACUAUUGUAACGCCCCCACUUCUCCCUAAGGCGAACCAAAGGGUAUCCGCGGGACGCCUGCCUAACUCUCGCCAGGACUCAAACAAUUCCAUUCAACUUAUAGCCGGAUCACACAACACAAGCCAAUAACUUAGGUACAAUAAAUGCGGAAGUAUUCAAACUUAAUAAUAGUCAUCCAUUCUCCAAACCACACGUCAGAAUACAGAUUACAUUUCGUCCAAAGGUUACAUUUCCAUACCAGAAGUACAAUUUCAAAACCAAAGGCAUAAUCAAAAGUAAUAACAAGCCCUAAACAAAAGUACAUCAGAGGGCUUCUCCAUUUUACCUCCGAGUUCAAACCUGUUAAGGAAAACAAAUCUACAGGGUGAGCAAAAACGCUCGUGAGGCCAAGAACACACAUGCAGACACAUAGUUCAGAUAACAAGUUCAAAUAACAAUUCAGAUAAUAGCUUGCAAGUAAUUAAUAACGCCAACAAAGCGUAACCAGAAACAAUUCAAGGAUAUAGAAGCUCUCAGGAGCUAAAUUCCACAUUUGCCGAUGUCAUUUGCAUAUCUCCCCGUGAUGACUCUCCGUCAACCGGGUUGAUAUUUUCAUAUCCGUAGUUCACCACUUACUUCUCAUCCGUCCACCAUACACCACUUCGGGCCCGCACUACAUUUAUAACGCGAUACUAUACGAGUAUGCCAAGCGAGAUCUCUCAAUAGAUCAAGCUUAUCAUUUGAGUCUCAUGGCUCACCGAGGUUCCCGACCAAGCCCAUGCCAGCUCGAGUUCCAAGGUCGGCCUAUGAGUUUGGGCGUCCCCCAUUUGUCAUGUAAAUGUCGAGGAGAUUCACUCCAUCGACGUAUGCAAUCAUAGCAUACCAUUUCAUGUAUUCAAGCAUUUGAUAGGUUUAAGCAGACAUUUCAAGUCAUGUAAACCAAGCAAAUCAUGUUAAGCAUGAGUCAUUCGUUUCAAAUGAGAACGAGUGCGAUCAAGUACACACUCGACUCCAUUUUGUCAAAAUCAGUUAAGCUAAGCAUGAAAUCAGGUGAAUCAAGCAUGAAUCAAGACUUUAGGGUUCAAGUAGGCAUACACUUGACACUCACUAAGUUAUGCAAGCAAGUAAAUUGGAGGAAGAGUUCAAACUUCCACAGUAGGGUCCUCUUGGAGGUCCUCGUGCGUGCCUGAGCAAAUAAUAGUGAAUUAUCACCCAUAUCCCAAAUAUCGAGGAAUAAUUCGUUCACUAGUAUUACUCUAGGAAAUUCCGUGAAAAUGAACCUCAAUUACUCGUAAAUUGAGGUUCGAGAGAGGUUUAAUAACAUUCAACAAUAUUUAAGUCUUUAUCUAGGAAAUCGGGGAUAAAACGUUUAGAUAAUAUCAAAAGAAUAAAGAGUUCUUGAAAAACUCUAUUUCCUUGAAAGUUGGAAAAUUUUCAGUUUUGUUAUGAAUCUUUGAAAAAUCGUAACUCACUCGGCAUAAGUCGAGAAUUGGAAAACUUUAUACCGUUGAAAACCUCUUAGAAAGUACUGCAAGUUCCUAGAAGACACUUUUCCAUGAAUCGAAGUGGAAAGUGUUCAAAAAUGAGCCUAAAGUUGCUGUUCUAGAUUACCAGGAUUGAGCCGGGGUUGGUUUUUCGCUAACUUUGGAAAUUCGGCAAAAAUCACUCGUUGCAAACCGGCCCUUGAAACUUAUAAAUCAAUUAGAAGUACAAGUGAAGUUUCGGACAGAACAAGCGGUUCAGGAAUCGGAGUUUCGAGCACCAAGAUAUGAUAGCUCAAAGUUGGGAGAAAUUCAAGACUGUUACAAAAUUUCCAGAUUUGGUUCCGACUUUGGACCUUUCAUUAAGUGUCGAAACGGACUUGGAUUGACACCAAAUUUUGCAGUAUAAUACUCCCAUAUGACAGGUAUCUCUCUAUCAAAUUUCAUGGAAAAAUACCCUCGGAAGGGUGGUCAUUCAAUCAACCAAAGUUUGGAAAAAUCCUUAAGGCAAUCUGCCUUUAAACUUUCAUUACCCAUUUCAAAACGUUUAAUCAAGCAAACUAUCCAAUCAUGGUUCAUUUGUGAAAUAAAGGCCUAAGAAACAUCCAUAAUGCCUUUGGUAAGUGUUUGGUAUCAAGAACAUCAAUUAACAAGUUCACUACAAGAUCUUGUUCCAAACCAGUCCAACAUUAGGUUUUUUUUCCAAAACAGAGCAGUCCACUUGUUUCAGUCACAACUCAGUCAAUUUAACUCGAAAUCGAGCAUGGCUUACGCCGUUGGAAAAUACAUUCAUAGGGAUAAAAUAUCACAGAAGAAAUCGUUCCCAAAUUCGGCACCCAUCUGGUUCAAAUUCGGGCAUCAAGUUGCUGCCUGAACACUUCAUUCCAGAUGAACAGAGCAACAGGACAGCGAACUUAAAACAUUUGGUUCGGCUUGCUCACAAAGAAUCAGAACGUGCAUUAUAUACCAAAUUAAAACCAGGAAUGUCUAGUUUCCAACGCCACCAACGGCACAUGAUUUCGACAUCCGAGGACAGAGUUAUAGCCAAAAUACUACCACUGGUCAGAAUCAUACGCGAACAGUUUUCCAGACUUGCUAGUUUCUCAAGAAAAAUUCAUUUGCUCAAUCAAACAUCAAUAUUUUCUAAUGAAAUUUUUCACACAUCUAAUACAUCCUAUAAACAUCCAAUUCAAGCCGUUAGACCAUUAAAAAUUGGCCUGGAAAUGGCCGAACAGAGCAGGGGCAAAAUGGUCAAGUUUGGCCCUUGCUCUCUACGUGAGUUUUCUAGCAGUUUCCUUCAACAAAUCCAUAACUUAAACACUAAUCUGAUAUCAUAAACUUCAUCAAGCACAGAAUCAGCAACAACCCAAGAGUGGGAAUUCAUAGAGCCCACUUUUCCAACAAUACAAGCUACUAGAGUGACGAUUCUAGCUCAAAUGCAUAAAUCAAACUUCAUAAAACAAGUUUAAGGAGUUAGAUGGCUACCUACUUUGAUGGCUGUUCAGAUCAGAAUAUUUCGGUCCCUAAGAAGCCUGAAGACAGCCGUGAAACUCCUCCCUUUUCCAGCCUAAGUUGUUGUCCGAGUAUUGAGCUAGUUGUAGUUAAAUUUUGAGAGAAUUUGGUGGAAGUUUGAUAGUGAUUUGCAUGGCUUUGGAAGAAAGAAAUGGUGAGAGUCUUUGGUUGUUUCUCUGCAGCAGUUGGCCGACUAUGAAGCUAGAAGAAAGGAAAUGAAUUGCGGUUCUG